UAUCAUGCCCAAGGCCGCCCAGAAAGACUUACAACCAACCAAACAGACAAUAAACCCCACACAGAGACAUUAACAGACCUUGCAAGUGUCCGGGAUAAACUGUGGCAUCCCGUUUUUUAUUGCGAGAAAACAGAGGCCAUUCCCCACCCCCAAAAGCACUAUUUUGGGGGGCUGCGAUCUUGCGCAGGCACCCAAAAUGUGCAUCUUUUGGUGCAUCUUUGGGAGGAGUAAGCCAGGGCGCGAAAUCAUGCAAGAUUACGACAACCAAAUGGGCAUAGUUGUGAUUAAAAAAUGGGAAGUUGGAAACCAGGAAGAUGGCAUCCCGGAUGUUGGCUUCAAAGUGUUGGAGGGUAUACAUUAAAACCAAGUGGAAAUAAAAAUACAUUUAAACAUCCCGCCCAUUUCCUAAAAGGCUACAGGUAGUUAAAGGCCAAAGGCCUUGUUAUAGAGGAAAGGUUUUGCCUGGCGCCUAAAGAUACGUAAGGAAGGUGCCUGGCGGGCCUCCCUGGGGAGCAACCACAAAUGAGGAGCAACCACAAAAAAUGCCUGUUCUUGUGUUGCUGCCCUCCAGACUUCUCAUGGAGGGGCCACACAAAGAAGGGCAUCAGAUUAUGAGUGUGGGGUCCCGAAAAUAAAUAGAAAUACAUUAAAAAUAGUCCAGAUGCCUCUGAAUACCAGUUGCUGGGAACCAACAGUGGCUUCUGCUUCCAGAAUCAGAGGCUGUUGUUAGAAGAGAACAGCAGUGGACCUACUGCCCUGAUGUCCACCUUCCAGGCUUCCGUGAGGCCUCUGUUGGCCACUGUGAGAACAGGAUGCUGGUCUAGAUGGGCCUUGGGCCUGAUCCGGCAACUGAGGCUCUUCUAUUCCAGAAGAGAAUCUGAUUUGGGGAGAGGGUUGCAACUCCUCGCCCCUGUUCCUAUGACAACAUCACUGAGGGCUUCUACUGACAAUACUUGUGUUGUUUCGUAUUAUUUCUCCUUCUCCUUCAUACUUCCCUCCCUCCCUCCUCCACCCAAGGCAUUCCGGGUGCUCUGCCACCAUUUCCCGUAGACCCUUCCCCGCACUCCUACCUCCGCCAUCUUGCUCCCCCUCUCCCAGUAGGCCUGCCUCGCCUAGCUUCCCAGUAGCCUCAGCCCGUCCCCCAAGAUGACCUUGCCCCCACCAAGUGUCCCCCUCUUCUCCCCAAGCCAGGUGGCUCGCGUCUGCGAAGCCCUGCAGGAGAGCGGAGAAUUUGAGCGCCUCGCCCGCUUCCUGUGGUCCCUCCCGCCGUCGCUCGCCCUCCGGCACCCCGAAGGCCUGGGCUGCACUCACGCCAAUUGCCAUGACUUGGAGUUGUUCAGCAGCCCGAUUCCCUCGGCUGCGUGGUUGGCGCCCUACUGCAGCCAGGCCACUGUGGCCACCUACCACCUGGAACCGUUCGGUGCCCUGCGGCCCGGAGACAGGUUCUCAAUACAUCCACCAGACCGAUCACCUGCCCGGAAGAAGGUCCCUGGUCUGCCGAGGGACUCUUGCCAAGAUGGGGAGCAGAAAGUGAAUGGCUUCAAGGAAAGGACACGGAACCUCCUGCGGGAGUGGUACCUUCAGGAUCCGUACCCUAACCCUUCCCGCAAGAGGCACCUGGCCCAGGCGACAGGGCUCACCCCCACCCAAGUGGGGAACUGGUUUAAAAACCGCCGGCAGAGAGACCGCGCAGCAUCAGCCAAGCACAGGCAGCAAAAGGAGCCGUCAACCCAGCCUAGAGACGUCCAAACCGAGACCCUAAACAGCAAGCUGCGCUUGGCGGAAGAGAGCAGCGCACCUGGGGAGCAGACAGAUCCCACCGCAGCCACCAGUGAUGAUGAAAACAGCCAAAGAGCAGGGGAGACCUGGGAAGACUGAUCCAGCCGAGGGGUUCUCUGUUCAACAGAAAUGACUGGCUGGGGUGUGUGGGAGACGCAGGGCACGACCAAUGGGAAUGAGAUGCAGUCAUCACGAACCCCAUUACUUAUGGAAUGGGGUUGGGGAGGUUUUAAGGAAAGGGAACCAGGUGCAAGAUUGAGGGUGUGGCAGGAAUUAUGGGAACGGAGAGUUUAUUGGCUAACUUCCCUGUUAUCCCGCUUGCCUUCCCCUGAGCAGCUUUGCAGCGCUGGUGUCCUUCAAAGGAGAUAAAACUGGAGUCUCGUUGCCACUUUACAAAAAAUAGGUUUAUUUGCCUCGAGAGAAGGGGCGCCAGGACCCGGGCUUAAGAAGUACAGCAGUGAAGACUCCAGGCUUUCUUCUCUCAAGCCUGCCUUGGGCAGCAUCUAAUUUAACCAGAAUGAAACAAUAAGCCUCUCCAGAUCUUCACUUCACACCACCAGGCCCUUUUGUAGUUCUCUGGGUCCUAAACCAGCAGGAGGGAAGGGCUCCCUGCUCACGAAGGCAUCCAGGAUGACGUGUUGCUGAGUCUGUAGCCAGGACUGGAGAGAAGAGGGUGAGGAGGAGCCAGGAGUGAGGGGAGAGGAAAUAGAUUUGGGAGGUUUCGGAGUUAAAGCAAAAGUGAAUGAGCAGUCAGGAGAGAAAGAGAGCAUAUAUGGGGGUAUUUGUAGAUUAAAAAGAGGUCUGGGGCAGGGGUUAAGGAUGGAUGCACCUAUAUCAGUGAGGCUCUUGCUGAUUUUGAUCCAAAGGAAUGUCUGUUAAAUAACUGACAGCACCAAUCACCUUCUGGGGAACGAUCGAAAGCAGCUUUCCGCACAUUUUUGGUCACUGGGUGUACUUUGUCAGAGACAUACUAGCAGCCAGGGCACUUGCAGCCACACCUAGGGGUUGGGGCCCAGCCACUGUGUCCAUGAAGCUUUCGGCUAAACCCUUUGCAUCCCUCCAUCCCUCAGUUGAAACAAGAUGUCCGUACAGGUAACCUGCAUCUCCUUGCAUUAAUCCCUUGUUUAGUUUGGCUCAUGCCUCCGAUUUCAUCCUCUGCCACAUAAAUUUAGAUUGAGGUCUCCCCGGAGGGGCGGGGGCUGCAGAGGCCUGUCUUUCCGGGUUGUUUGUUUAUCUCUCUCUGUGUAAACUGCUGAGUAUAUUUACGGCACAGUAUCAAUAAAACGAUUCUAUUCUAAUAUGUGGAGAGCACCACUAAAAAUGCCAGCGCCGCAUUAAUAAAUGAUGGUGGCUUUGCAUUCCAGAGGCGAUGCGUCACUUAAAAACAAACAAAGGGAUGCUCAAGUGGCUCCCUUUUGCAGGCAUGAGGUUGAGAAGAGAAGCGUUUGGAAUGAGAAAGAAUGAAGGGAUACAGCUAUGAGCAACGCUUUCAAAAGGAUGGAACCCUGUGUAGUAAGAAGAGCUAAGCCAGGGGUCAGCAAACUUUUUCGGCAGGGGGCCGGUCCACUGUCCCUCAGACUUUGUGGGGGGCUGGACUAUAUUUUUUGGGGGGAAAUGAACAAAUUCCUAUGCCCCACAAAUAACCCAGAGAUGCAUUUUAAAUAAAAAGACACAUUCUACUCAUGUAAAAACAUGCUGAUUCCCGGACCGUCUGCGGGCCGGAUUUAGAAGGCGAUUGGGCUGGAUCCGACCCCCGGGCCUUAAUUUACCUAUCCAUGAGCUAAGGCAAGCCUGCUGGCUUAGGCCGAUAUUCAGAGGCACAAGAUACCUCUGAAAGUGGAGGUGUGAUUAGUAGCCAUUGAAAGCCUUGUCCUCCCUAAAAUCUGCUGCUAAGUCACAUCCAAGAGUCAAGUCAUUCUCCAUAUGUAGGCAAAAAAACCGCACCUGGGGAUCCAAGUGGAGGCUGGUCCAUUAGGGCAAAUGAGGCACUGCCCUGUCAGCAUUGCAAGUGGCCCAGGAGGAUGGGAGUUGUAAUCCAGCAAGUUCUGGAAGGCCACAGGUCCCCCACUCAAAUAUUCUAGCUUGCAUCCAGGCCACAGGGUGCUGCUGCCUGAAACCUUAUUCUUCCUUAGUCCCAGUGUUGUUCCUUGUAGAACUCAGCGAGGAUGGGGACCAAACUUAGAAUGGCUCAGCCUGUCAAUGGCUCUGGCGCCACCUACUGGUGUGCUCCCUGCCUUCUGCCCCAAUGGGCACCAGCCACCAUUAAAAGGAACCUGAAACAGCUCCAGUGUGGACUGAGUGCAUAGCAUAGGCAUGGCAUGGAGCGUGCUGGGAAGGGACAUGGCUCGAACCCUGAAUAGAAGCACGCCACUUGGCAGCAUUUUGUUUAAAGGUCCUGGUUGUAUUAAUUCCAACCAGUUCCACUCUCAGGGCUUAUUAACACUUACCUUUUCCUCUGCUCUUUCCAGGCAUGGUCCAUGAUUGAAAGCUCCAUGUCUGAGCAAACCCUUUAUUUUGGUUGGCCCACAAAACCUGCUCUUUUAAAGCUCAAUUGGAGCAAGCGGCAAUCUGCAUAAAAGCUGGAUUUACUUUUGCUCCGAUUCAGCUUUAAAGUAGUGGUGUUCUGUGGGUGGUGUUAUAAAAAUUUUAAGGUCUUAGAUAUAUAAUAAAUGUUCAUAAAUGUACCAAGCAAACACGUACAUAAAUAUAUAAACCACAUGUCUGGAGCAGCACAGGAAUACAGUCCUGAAACCAUUUUGACUCCUAAACUGACCAAAUGUUUCUCUGCAAGGAGGGAGAGGGAAUUAAGUGAUUACCAUCUCAAAGGAAUGGCCAGACUACCAGGAAAAACAAUCAGAGAAGGCAUUAUCAGAUAACCUGGCAGACAAGGGAUAAAGAAAGCAUUCAGAUUUCUGUUGUAGACCGCCUUUUCUAUGAUGUAUGUAUGAUGUUUCUGAGGGUGGUCUUGGGCUACACCCCUUCUGUGAUGUAUGUAUGAUGUUUCUGGGGGUGGUCUUGAGCUCCAGGGCAGGGAAUUUCAAAAUGUCUAUAUAAGGGGAGGCACAACUUUGUUCUGGGUCCUCCUCCGUCCUCCUGCGUGUGAGGGGAGCACCCUGUUGCAACAGCGUUAAUAAAGAUCAGGCUUACUAGCUGCUUU